rnacentral:lncRNA from 1 species
GUGUGCAUCCAGGAUGCGGCCGUCGUAGUCGAUGACCACUGUGUCACCCUGUUCCCCUUUCGGGCCAGGGGGACCCCGGGGUCCGAUGGAGCCGACUCCUCCCUUCUCACCGGGUUCACCCUUGGGUCCUGGCGCGCCGUCCGUGCCAUUCUCUCCCUUCAGACCCGUGCUUCCCUUUUCUCCCUUAGGGCCUGAAAGUCCUGGUUCCCCUGGGAUGCCA